rnacentral:misc_RNA from 1 species
ACAUUCAGUAGCUUGCUACUGUUAGGGGGGUCCAUUAGUCUGUAUAGUAUCACUACUGAUGAGCAGCACGACUCCCUGUCUAUACCCUUGUCUUUUGCGCACUCAUGUUUCCUCGGCGGCUUGAUACCCGGCCGGCUGGAUUCAAUCUAUAACCUUUUUAAUUUUCAAUCAGCGUCUGAAAAAACCUAAUAAUUA